rnacentral:misc_RNA from 1 species
AACUUUCAGCAAUGGAUCUCUUGGCUCUCGCAUCGAUGAAGAACGCAGCGAAAUGCGAUACGUAAUGUGAAUUGCAGAAUUCAGUGAAUCAUUGAAUCUUUGAACGCACCUUGCGCCCCUUGGCAUUCCGAGGGGCACACCCGUUUGAGUGUCGUGAAAUUCUCAAACCUUCUUGGUUUCUUGAUCAAGAUGGCUUUGGACUUUGGAGGCAUUUUGCUGGCUUUGCGAAAAGCCAGCUCCUCUUAAAUACAUUAGUGGGAUCCCCUUUGCCGAUCCCCAGGCGUGAUAAGAUAUUUCUACGUCUUGGGAUUUGCUCUGUUCCUUGGGAACCCGCUUCCAACCGUCUCAUGGGAGACAUCGUUCGAGUUUGCUCGACCCACGAACCUUGACCUCAAAUCGGGUGAGACUACCCGCUGAACUUAAGCAUAUCAAUAAGCGGAGGCU